rnacentral:rRNA from 1 species
GAUGAACGCUGGCGGCGUGCCUAAUACAUGCAAGUCGAGCGAACAGACGAGGAUCUUGCUCCUCUGACGUUAGCGGCGGACGGGUGAGUAACACGUGUAUAACCUACCUAUAUGACUGGGAUAACUUCGGGAAACCGGAGCUAAUACCGGAUAAUAUAUUGAACCGCAUGGUUCAAUAGUGAAAUACGGUUUUUCUGUCACUUAUAGAUGGUUCCGCGCCGCAUUAGAUGGUUGGUAGGGUAACGGCUUACCAAGGCAACGAUGCGUAGCCGACCUGAGAGGGGGAUCGGCCACACUGGAACUGAGACACGGUCCAGACUCCUACGGGAGGCAGCAGUAGGGAAUCUUCCGCAAUGGGCGAAAGCCUGACGGAGCAACGCCGCGUGAGUGAUGAAAGUCUUCGGAUCGUAAAACUCUGUUAUUAGGGAAGAACAAAUGUGUAAGUAACUAUGCACGUCUUGACGGUACCUAAUCAGAAAGCCACGGCUAACUACGUG